GACGGGGGGGGCAAACGUUGUCCGGAAUUAUUGGGCGUAAAGAGCUCGUAGGCGGUUUGUCGCGUCUGCUGUGAAAACUCGAGGCUCAACCUCGGGCUUGCAGUGGGUACGGGCAGACUAGAGUGCGGUAGGGGUGACUGGAAUUCCUGGUGUAGCGGUGGAAUGCGCAGAUAUCAGGAGGAACACCGAUGGCGAAGGCAGGUCACUGGGCCGCAACUGACGCUGAGGAGCGAAAGCAUGGGGAGCGAACAGG
rnacentral:rRNA from 1 species